UACAGAGACUGCAAGCGUUAUUCGGAUUCACUGGGCGUAAAGCGUCCGCAGGUGGCAGUUCAAGUCUGCUGUCAAAGACCGGGGCUUAACUUCGGAAAGGCAGUGGAAACUGAACAGCUAGAGUAUGGUAGGGGCAGAGGGAAUUCCUGGUGUAGCGGUGAAAUGCGUAGAGAUCAGGAAGAACAUCGGUGGCGAAGGCGCUCUGCUGGACCGACAUUGACGCUGAUGAGCGAAAGCUAGGGGAGCAAACGGG
rnacentral:rRNA from 1 species